rnacentral:tRNA from 1 species
GCGCCUUUAGUAUAGCGGUAGUACUGCCCAACCGCGCGGGCGAGGACAGGUUCAAUUCCUGUAAGGCGCACCU